AUACCCUCCCCAUAAAAGGCUGUUUGGUUUGACCCCCACCCCUUCUUACCCCUCUGGAAAUUCAAGUUUAGCUUUAAAAUGUUUGGCUUUUGAGAUGGCUGACCUCCUCGGAAUGUUCUAUGACCUUCCAGGGGAAAUUUCAUAUCCAUCACACUUAAUGUUACUUAUUUUACUGGCAGGUGGGAUGAUUGUAUCCAAGUGGUGAGACUGCAUCACCUCUGUCAUCCAAAAAGCACGAUAGCGGAACAGGCUCACCGUAAUAACUUGAAAGGCUUUUUUAUGGUUCGGGCCUACAUCAGAAGACAUGGUUCACCAGGAUUAUUGGAAAAAUUAGAAGAUUACAUGCUACAAGCAAAUAGGGUGAAAGAUGUAGAAAAGUCAUGAAAGUCUGUCAAUUAAAGGCAACAUUUACAAAAAUAACCAUGAAUUCAAUAUCUGGUGUUUUAUUAAUUUCAUUUGUUGCAAAGCCUGCUUCAAUAAUGGACCAUAGAAUGCUCAAAAGUGAGUUUACCACAAAGUUCUCAAUAUUUUUCUGACAUCAUUUAUAUGGUCUCCAAAGAGGAAAGACCAUGGGAAAACGUGGUUGGUUUCUCUUAUAUAUGUUUACAAAGAAAUUAAAAGUUUGCUGAAUUAAAGGGAAAAUCUGAGUGAAUUCUAAAUGACCUACUUGAAGCCUACAAAUGCCUUGGAGAUUACUUCAAUGCUGUUACAAGAAGCGUGAGAUAAGUAAAUUCACGUACAAAGCACUUUUUUUCAGCCUUGAGUUUUAUUGAUAGAAUGGCCUAACUAACCUGAGUGCAGUCAUGCAGUAUUUACACAUCAUGAAAGUGUGCUAUAACAAGAACAGCAAAUCAGAACAUUUACAUCAAAUAAGAGUGUUGUCAUCUGAAUGCAAUAAAUGAAGUAAUAAUAUUUAUUUUAUCUCUUUUUUCAUAAACCCCUGUAAGACUUGCAUCCUUUCCUCAGUAAGACCCCAAAACAGCACUCUGUGAUCAGACACAAUAUUUUCCACUUUCAAUUGUUCCUUUUUUGCCCAGUGUAAAGUAAAGUAAGCAUUCUAAUAGGUACAAAAUUGUCAUAAAACCUACAAAUGCUAGGAUUAAAGUUCCUUUGCAGCCAUAGUGGGCUGCCAGUGAGUGCUUCAAUUGUGCAUUGAUUGAUUGAUAAUGUUGAUCCAAGUAAAAGCUGUUAAGGAGACUAUGGUUGUCUUGACUCCAGAAGGCAAACCUACAGGUAUAAAUUUUUUCAUAACUUCACACAGAGCUGCCUCAACAGAACUGUCUGGACACUUGCCAAAAGAACUAAUAACAUUUUACUGACAAAUGCAUGAAAUUGGUUAUCAUGCUCUUCUGUCAUGUCAAAUGAAAAAAAGGCAAGGCUCACCAUUCUUUGCCAAACAGAAAUACUUGGGUUAAAUAUACACUGACAAUUAUUAGUAAAAAACUGUAACAGAAUGAUCAGUUUUUGAUACCAUGCAGAAAGAGAUAAUGCCAUAACUUAGUUUCCUUGGCAAAAGCCUCUAAUCAUAUUUUUCCCCUAAGUUAAAAGCUCAUCACAGUGCCUUGUCAGAAUUAACAUUUUCAUAUUUAAGAAUAAACCAAGAAGUUCUACAUGACCAGCAUAUACAGUCACAUCUUGAUUUCCAUCUUAUUUUAUUAUCCAGACUUUCCAAAUGGCAUCAGGACUUUUUAUGUGGUCCUGAAUACCACAGUUCCCCUUCUCUCCUGUAUUUGAUUACACAGACUCUUGCUUUUCCAGACUUUUUUUCAAGUCCUUACUAGUCCAAGCCUAUGUUUUGAAGGUGCAACUGUAUUCAAACUGGUCAUAAACUUUCUCCAAACAAGCAGCACAACCACAAAGUACUGGUAAGUUACUGAUUUUGCUGCAGUUUAAAGAAAGACUCAUUGAUAUAAUUUUGUGGGAGUAAAUACCAAAAUAAAUCAUUUGGUUUGAAUGAAACAAAUAAAUAAAUCAAAUAAGAUGUUACUACAAUAGAUAUAUUAACUGUGCAAAACUGAUUUUCAGAAUAAAGUACUCCAAACUGAUUUAUAUAUUCAAAUAACAUUAUAAAUAAUUGCAGCAAAUAUUAACAUAAUGUGCUACAAUGCGACAUCUGUGCCUCUAGCAAGAAUUAACAUGUGCUAUAACAAAAAGAGGCUAGAACUUACAUGUAGAUAGCUGGUCGCUUUGUUCAGCUGUAAUAUCUGAACAAAAUUUCAAUCCUUAAAACAAAUUGUAUCAAAUGUGCCUUAAAUGCGACCAUCCUAUUAACUGACCAUGGAGCAUGGUUCAAUGUAACUUUUGUCAAAACUAGCUAUUGUACAGAAUAAAUGAAUGACUGCUAACAGUAACAUAACAACUAUUUUAUGUAAUAUGUAACUUUGCUGAAUUACCAGCUGGCCCAACCAUUAAUGAUUAUAAGCUACGAGCCUGGUAGAGACGAACAAAACUCAUCACUGACUAAGUAAGCUUUGCAUUUCAGUGAGAAUUGAAUAUAUUGACAACAAAUCACAAAUUCAAUAAUAAUUAUAAAGCUAAUCAGCUUAGCUAACAGGUCAACCCAGCGUGGGCUCAGUCCAAUUUCUUGGAAAUUAUGCCAAGGUUGCUUUUUACCCAAAACAGAUUCAAUACUGGAAACUCUCCAUCUACAGUGCUGUUAAUUAAAAUGGUUUAACUUGUCACAAUCACUGGAUGCUUUCAUUAUGCCAGAACGACUGGUCAGAGACCAGAGGGCUACCCAAGGAAAAAUGGAAUGACAUUUUCUGAUCAAACAUUUUUUUUCCUUUUCAAAAUUCCCUACAUAACUGAAAUCUACUGAAGAGAAGUAGGGCAAUGAACCUCUUUGUCAAAAUGGAAUGGCAAACUUCGGUUGGACCGGCAACUUUUCUGACACCUCUAGCUUAAAACUCCUAAAGACUAAAGGAUCGAUAGGCCACGCUUUCAUGGUUUGUAUUCAUACUGAAAAUCAAAAUCAAGUGAGCUAAAUAUUCCGGUUGGAAUGAGCUGAAACAGAUCUUUCCAUUUGACUUCUGACCGAAAUUUCCAGAAUCUUUGGCAUAAUGGAAAGCACACACUGACAAGACAAAAAAUCUAGAACUAAACAAUGGUGACUGCCCAUUUGCACACAGCAAAAUAUAAUCUAUGUUGUAAUAUUAUCAUUCAUUUGAAUGUACACUUCAUUUCACCUAUGUGAUGCAAAUAAUCAUUGCAUUUACUACUCUAAUAUAAUCAAAAUACAAUUUUCAAGAUAAAACAACUAUGUCAAUCAGCAAUUGUUAGUCGUGGGCAAUUUUGUCACAAAUAAGAUGACUGAAUUUAUCCCUUAUGCUUGUAAAUUAAUAAUCAAGCUACAUAAAAAAAAAAAAA